GAUGAACGCUGGCGGCGUGCCUAAUACAUGCAAGUCGAGCGAACGGACGAGAAGCUUGCUUCUCUGAUGUUAGCGGCGGACGGGUGAGUGACACGUGGAUAACCUACCUAUAAGACUGGGAUAACUUCGGGAAACCGGAGCUAAUACCGGAUAAUAUUUUGAACCGCAUGGUUCAAAAGUGAAAGACGGUCUUGCUGUCACUUAUAGAUGGAUCCGCGCUGCAUUAGCUAGUUGGUAAGGUAACGGCUUACCAAGGCAACGAUGCAUAGCCGACCUGAGAGGGUGAUCGGCCACACUGGAACUGAGACACGGUCCAGACUCCUACGGGAGGCAGCAGUAGGGAAUCUUCCGCAAUGGGCGAAAGCCUGACGGAGCAACGCCGCGUGAGUGAUGAAGGUCUUCGGAUCGUAAAACUCUGUUAUUAGGGAAGAACAUAUGUGUAAGUAACUGUGCACAUCUUGACGGUACCUAAUCAGAAAGCCACGGCUAACUACGUGCCAGCAGCCGCGGUAAUACGUAGGUGGCAAGCGUUAUCCGGAAUUAUUGGGCGUAAAGCGCGCGUAGGCGGUUUUUUAAGUCUGAUGUGAAAGCCCACGGCUCAACCGUGGAGGGUCAUUGGAAACUGGAAAACUUGAGUGCAGAAGAGGAAAGUGGAAUUCCAUGUGUAGCGGUGAAAUGCGCAGAGAUAUGGAGGAACACCAGUGGCGAAGGCGACUUUCUGGUCUGUAACUGACGCUGAUGUGCGAAAGCGUGGGGAUCAAACAGGAUUAGAUACCCUGGUAGUCCACGCCGUAAACGAUGAGUGCUAAGUGUUAGGGGGUUUCCGCCCCUUAGUGCUGCAGCUAACGCAUUAAGCACUCCGCCUGGGGAGUACGACCGCAAGGUUGAAACUCAAAGGAAUUGACGGGGACCCGCACAAGCGGUGGAGCAUGUGGUUUAAUUCGAAGCAACGCGAAGAACCUUACCAAAUCUUGACAUCCUUUGACAACUCUAGAGAUAGAGCCUUCCCCUUCGGGGGACAAAGUGACAGGUGGUGCAUGGUUGUCGUCAGCUCGUGUCGUGAGAUGUUGGGUUAAGUCCCGCAACGAGCGCAACCCUUAAGCUUAGUUGCCAUCAUUAAGUUGGGCACUCUGAGUUGACUGCCGGUGACAAACCGGAGGAAGGUGGGGAUGACGUCAAAUCAUCAUGCCCCUUAUGAUUUGGGCUACACACGUGCUACAAUGGACAAUACAAAGGGCAGCGAAACCGCGAGGUCAAGCAAAUCCCAUAAAGUUGUUCUCAGUUCGGAUUGUAGUCUGCAACUCGACUACAUGAAGCUGGAAUCGCUAGUAAUCGUAGAUCAGCAUGCUACGGUGAAUACGUUCCCGGGUCU
rnacentral:rRNA from 1 species